GUGUGUGUCGAUGGUCAGGAAGGAGAAAAAGGGGUUCAACCCUAGUUUCACAAAAAUCAUCAAAUUGAGAGGGAAAUUCAGCUCGGAUCUAAUGCAUGUACAUGAAUUCAUGAUCAUCUAGCCCUAUAAAUCACUUGGAUAGGAACUACAUUAACACGUACUCAAGCAUGGAAGGUUAACGGGUCAAGAUGAGGCAAGGAAGCGGCUACGAACACGGAUGCACAAGGUUACACGGUCUAUCGUCGGUUUAAAGCAUUGGAGGAUUGAAGAUCGAGUCAAGGGCAAAAAUUGUACGGGAAGAGUAGUCACGUAGCUCAAACGCGUAUAUGUAAUUGAUGUGAAAAUUCAGAACGAACGAUGUAAACCCUUUAAUUAACUUUAAAAAUUUCUAGUAACGAACCCCAAGUAUGAUACAUGACUAAGAUAGAAAGAAAUUUUAAAGGCCCAAAUUUUCCGCUGCGUCA